CCAUGCUCUAGGCUGAUCCCCGAAAGGCCGGAACCUUCACUGGCUUGGGCAUGGCACCUAAUUUAUGAAGG
rnacentral:sRNA from 1 species